UGUCAGGCAGGACCACGGGGCGAAUCGGAGAUCCGGUCCGAGGCUCCUUCCUCCAGGCCUUCUCUAAAGGGGGCAGUGAAUGGCAUUGUAUGGCCUGUCCUUGGUCGUCGAACACGGUUGCCAUGGGCAAGGUUACCGUGACGUUGAUGAUGGCGGUGGUGUUCCAUGCCAGGGGAUUGUACACAAUGAUGUGCUGCUCCAGGUCCUGAUGGGAGCCUGCAAUUACAUAUAUUAACAACAUUUUGAUAAUGUAUGUAAAAAAUAACAUGUUGUAGUUGAUGAAGAUAGUCAUUAAAUGCAUUGGACCAAGCUGAACCUUGGGCCUUGUUACAACACAUCCUCCCCCUUCCUUGAUGUGUAUUCACUGAUCUGUAGUGUGUGAUUGGAUAAGUGAAAACAUGCAGCCCAUCCAACUACUUUCACAAAUCCACAUUUCUGAGUUCAUGUCAAAUAAAGUAUAAAUCGAUUUCAAUUAUUCA